rnacentral:rRNA from 1 species
CCUACGGGUGGCAGCAGUGAGGAAUAUUGGUCAAUGGUCGCAAGACUGAACCAGCCAUGCCGCGUGCAGGAUGAAGGCGCUAUGCGUUGUAAACUGCUUUUCUCUGGGAAUAAACCCCUUUACGUGUAAAGGGCUGAAGGUACCAGAGGAAUAAGCACCGGCUAACUCCGUGCCAGCAGCCGCGGUAAUACGGAGGGUGCAAGCGUUAUCCGGAUUCAUUGGGUUUAAAGGGUGCGCAGGCGGGACCUUAAGUCAGUGGUGAAAUCCCGUAGCUUAACUACGGAACUGCCAUUGAUACUGAGGUUCUUGAAUGUAGUUGACGUUAGUGGAAUGUGUCAUGUAGCGGUGAAAUGCAUAGAUAUGACACAGAACACCGAUCGCGAAGGCAGCUAACGAAGCUAUUAUUGACGCUCAGGCACGACAGCAUGGGGAGCAAACAG